AGCAGCCGCGGUAAUUCCAGCUCCAAUAGCGUAUAUUAAAGUUGUUGCAGUUAAAAAGCUCGUAGUUGAAUUUCGGGAUCAAUACGUCGGUCGUGCCUCUGGUAUGUACUGGUGUUAUUGAUUCCUCCUUUCUGAUGAACCAUGAUGUCAUUAAUUUGGUGUUGUGGGGAGUCAGGACUGUUACUUUGAAAAAAUUAGAGUGUUUAAAGCAGGCCUACGCUUGAAUACAUUAGCAUGGAAUAAUGAAAUAGGACGUUCGAACCUAUUUUGUUGGUUUCUAGGAUCAACGUAAUGAUUAAUAGGGAUAGUUGGGGGCAUUAGUAUUCAAUUGUCAGAGGUGAAAUUCUUGGAUUUAUUGAAGACUAACUACUGCGAAAGCAUUUGCCAAGGAUGUUUUCAUUAAUCAAGAACGAAAGUUAGGGGAUCGAAGACGAUCAGAUACCGUCGUAGUCUUAACCAUAAACUAUGCCGACUAGGGAUCGGAUGAUGUUAAUUUUUUAAUGACGCAUUCGGCGCCUUACG
rnacentral:rRNA from 1 species